GAUGAACGCUGGCGGCGUGCCUAAUACAUGCAAGUCGAGCGAACAGACGCUGAGCUUGCUCCUCUGACGUUAGCGGCGGACAGGUGAGUAACACGUGGAUAACCUCCCUAUAAUACUGGGAUAACUUCGGGAAACCGGAGAUAAUACCGGAGAAUAUAUUGAACCGCAUGGGUCAAUAGUGAAAGACGGUUUUGCUGUCACUUAUAGAUGGAUCCGCGCCGCAUUAGCUAGUUGGUAAGGUAACGGCUUACCAAGGCAACGAUGCGUAGCCGACCUGAGAGGGUGAUCGGCCACACUGGAACUGAGACACGGUCCAGACUCCUACGGGAGGCAGCAGUAGGGAAUCUUCCGCAAUGGGCGAAAGCCUGACGGAGCAACGCCGCGUGAGUGAUGAAGGUCUUCGGAUCGUAAAACUCUGUUAUUAGGGAAGAACAAAUGUGUAAGUAACUAUGCCCGUCUUGACGGUACCUAAUCAGAAAGCCACGGCUAACUACGUG
rnacentral:rRNA from 1 species